AACGAACGCUGGCGGCAGGCCUAACACAUGCAAGUCGAGCGAGGACUUCGGUUCUAGCGGCGGACGGGUGAGUAACGCGGGGGAAUGUGCACUUCUCUACGCAAUAGCUCUGGGAAACUGGGAGUAAUACCGUAUACGCCCUAUUGGGGUAAGACUUAUCGGAGAAGGAUCAGCCCGCGUUGGAUUAGGUAGUUGGUGGGGUAAUGGCCUGCCAACCGGACGAUCCAUGGCUGGUUGGGGAGGAUGAUCAUCCACACUGGGACUGAGACACGGCCCACACUCCGACGGGAGGGAGCGGUGGGGAAUCUUAGACACUGAGGCCAAACCUGAUAAAGCCGUGCGGCGUGAGUGAGGAAGGCCUUAGGGUUGCAAAGCUCUUUGUGAUGGGAAGAUAAUGACGGUAACAGGAAAAGAAGCCCCGGCUAACUACGUG
rnacentral:rRNA from 1 species